rnacentral:rRNA from 10 species
AUGCUUACGGCCAUACCACCUUGGGCAUGCCCGAUCUUGUCUGAUCUCGGAAGUUAAGCAGGGUCGGGCCUGGUUAGUACUUGGAUGGG